rnacentral:piRNA from 1 species
UCAAUUUGAUUAUAGUCGAAU